UGAACCCUUACUGAAUCCAGUCCUCACUUACUGACACAAAGCAUGGAAUUCAUCUGACUAAAUGAAAAGAAAUGGGUGAUUUUGAAAGGGUGAUUCAUCUCAUCUUAAUAUAGAAAUCUAAAACAGGUCAGAUGACUCGCAUCCUAUUUCUUCUGUGGAAUACAAAGGGCCUGAGGAGUCCCCGCUCUGAUGUAGGCAUAUCACAUACAGAUGUCCACAGCUAAAUGGCAUGAAUCUCACUCAAAGCGAAGGAAGAUGUAUAAAACAGGAGCAACAGCAAACAUCUUGGUGGCAGCAUAUGGAAUACUAGAUCUAUGGGGGACUAGGUGCGAGACUCAAGUUUUUGUCAUCAUUGUGACUGCUUGCUAGCUGAAUGAAUUUGGAGCUGAUAUAAGACACAGAGGUCCGGUGGAAGUGAAAAGAAAAGCAAAGGGAUGCAGGCAUUGCAAAGGAAGCAGAUGAACACCAGAUCAAAACUGAGGUUUCUUUAAAUCUUCAGAGAAGACUUCUUGAGAAACAGAGAAAUGAAACAUUUCUUCAUUUAUGUCUAAUAGGACAUGGCUCCAUUUCCUCUCUCGUAUUACAAGGAGGCAGAAUAACAACUUAUUUAGAUCUUCAUGACCAAUCUGUGAUGAAAGAUCCUGCUUCCAUUAGGCAUGGUUUACAUUUAGAAUCUUAAGUUAGUACUGCUUGAUACUACGCUUCUGAGUAUAGGUUACUGUAUAGGUAUUGAUAUUAGAGGUUUAAUCAUUUUUUCCAUGUUCUUACUUUGUGAACAUGAAGACCUGACAAAAGCCACUGACUUGCUAAAUAAACAUACUGAGCUGGAUCCUCCACUGGCUUACUCAGUUCCAAUAAAUUCAUAUUACAUCACUUCAGGAUCUAAUCAGAACAUUUCAAGACAGAUGGUCUUACAGGGUGAUGCUUGUCUUUCUUUAGCAUCUGAUCAAUACUUUGACUAUUGGAAAUUGUUAGAUCUUCUACAAGUGGACCAUUAUAAUUUUCAAAAUAAAAUUAUACUAC